GACGAACGCUGGCGGCGUGCUUAACACAUGCCAGUCGAACGGACAGGCCCUGCUUUUUUGGGGUCCUCGGGUGACGAACGGGUGAGUAACACGUAAGUAACCUACCCUUCACUUUGUGAUGACUUCAGGCAACUGGGGCUAAUACCGGAUAGGAUCUCCUGCUUCUUGGUGGGAGUUGGAAAGUUUCGGCGGUUGGUGAUGGACUCGGGGCUUAUCAGCUUGUUGGUGGGGUAGUGGCUUACCAAGGCUUUGACGGGUUGCCGGGCUGAGAGGGUGACCGGCACAAUUGGGACUGAGCUACGGCACGGACCAAUACGGGAGGCAGCAGAGGGGAAGAGAGCACAAUGGGCGGAAGCCGGAUGCAGCAACGCCGCGUGCGGGAUGAAGGCCUUCGGGUUGUAUACCGCUGUCGUCUGUGAGGAGGCGUGAGUGACGGUAACGGGUGAAGAAGCACCGGCUAACUACGUG
rnacentral:rRNA from 1 species